rnacentral:rRNA from 1 species
AACGAACGCUGGCGGCGUGGAUAAGACAUGCAAGUCGAACGGAACUUUCAGCUGUAGCAAUACAGUUGAAAGUUUAGUGGCGAACGGGUGCGUAACACGUGGGCAAUCUGCCGAGAAGUGGGGGAUAGCUCGCCGAAAGGCGAAUUAAUACCGCAUGUGAUCAGGAAAGACAUCUUUCCAACAUUAAAGCCGGGGUUAAACCUGGCGCUUCUUGAUGAGCCCGCGGCCUANCAGCUAGUUGGUGAGGUAACGGCUCACCAAGGCUUUGACGGGUAGCUGGUCUGAGAGGACGACCAGUCACACUGGAACUGAGACACGGUCCAGACACC